UACGUAGGGUGCAAGCGUUAAUCGGAAUUACUGGGCGUAAAGCGUGCGCAGGCGGCUUUGCAAGACAGAUGUGAAAUCCCCGGGCUUAACCUGGGAACUGCAUUUGUGACUGCAUGGCUAGAGUGCGGCAGAGGGGGAUGGAAUUCCGCGUGUAGCAGUGAAAUGCGUAGAUAUCUGGAGGAACACCGGUGGCGAAGGCGGCAUCCUGGACCGGCAUUGACGCUGAGGAGCGAAAGCCAGGGGAGCAAACGGG
rnacentral:rRNA from 1 species